rnacentral:sRNA from 1 species
AAAACCGGCGUGGCUCGGAGGAGCUGGAGCAGAACAACCGGGCGACAGAGAAUGAGUUCGUGCGCUCGCUGAAGGUCCGGCCGUGUCCACGCAGUCCCGGGGCUCAGGACGAUGGAGGGCGGGGGCCUCUGAGAGGGAGACCAUCAAGAUGCAGGACAAGCUGAACCAGCUCAGCGAGGAGAAGGCGACCCUCCUGAAUCAACUGGUGGAAGCAGAGUGAGUCCCAGUCUCCAGCCACACGUGGGUCAUGAAGGUCACUGCACCUACAGGCCUCUGUCCGUUGAAGACCAUGUAGGAGGCCAGGUGUGGCAGCUCACACCCAUAUC